CUUAAAGCAGAAGCAUCAUUUGGAUCUGUCUCACCAUUGAUGCAUCUCAGAAUGCAGAAUAUCACUGUCACAAACAGGUGUCCCCUCCUCCAAAUCUCCAUCAUCAGCUCCUAAAACUCUCCCUGUCAAGCCUCACCGACAAACCAAGACAACUAGACAAAGGCCUUGGCUUGAUGGCUUGCAGCUAUCCCUUCUUUAUAUUUUUUUUUUCUUUCAAAUUUUCAGUAAAAAGAUUUUUUCAUUCUAUACUUAUUUAGCCAUACCCCCACCCCCCCAGUCCAACAGAAGCUGGCAGGCACGAUUUGCUAGAAGAAU
rnacentral:misc_RNA from 1 species